GUCAGAGCAAGUCGUAGACUAGUUGGGAGUUGCUGGGUAUGUCAGACUAGACAAAUGCUCUUGACAGGAGUGUACUGCCAGUGACUUCCUCCGAUUCCCCACGAUCAGGUAAAUGAAGGCUAUGACGGAAAACUGCUGGUGAAGUCGUUUAAUGGGACAUGGGCUUUAGAUACAUUUUAGAGGUGUCUGUAUGUGUAAUUGUAAUGUUGUUUAUGAAGAAGAAUUUUGACAUUUCUAAAGUAUUAAAAUCUCACUGUUCAGCAUAAAGUACCACAAGCAGAAAGCACAAAACACAAUUAUCAGACCGUCUUGUUCUUGUUCCAUUCAAAUUUAUUGAAGGACAGGCUCUCUUACAAAGUAUAAAACUCUGAUCCAUGUAAUACUCAAAUGCACCAUUCAAGUUAUUCCUGAGACCUGCCAUUUUCUAGUGUCUCCCAUACUGCUGUCUUCACAUUCACAGCAA